rnacentral:rRNA from 1 species
GACGAACCGUGCGAACGUUGUUCGGAAUCACUGGGCUUAAAGGGCGCGUAGGCGGGCCGUCCAGUCAGGGGUGAAAUCCUCCAGCUUAACUGGAGAACAGCUUUUGAUACUGACGGCCUCGAGGGGGGUAGGGGCAUGUGGAACUUCCGGUGGAGCGGUGGAAUGCGCAGAUAUCAGGAGGAACACCGAUGGCGAAGGCAGGUCUCUGGGCCAUUACUGACACUGAGGAGCGAAAGCGUGGGGAGCGAACAGG